GCAGCUACUGGCCCCCAGCCCAUGGGACCGUAGUCGUGGAGGCCUCUGCAGAGGCGCAGGCUGGAAGCGGUGGCCUUUGAGGGGGGCGGCAGGAGAGAGUACCGACCUCCCUCGAACUCCUGGCAGAGAGAGCUGGCGGUCACCAUGGCAAUGCGGGAGCUGGUGGAGGCCGAAUGCGGGGGUGCCAACCCGCUCAUGAAGCUCGCCGGGCACUUCACCCAGGACAAGGCCCUUCGGCAGGAGGGAUUGAGGCCUGGCCCCUGGCCCCCCGGAGCCCCAGCCUCUGAGGCAGUGAGUGUUCUUGCGGUGGAAAGCCCAGGUGCAGCCUCUGAGGCAGUGGGUGUUGCUGAGGUGGAAAGCCCAGGUGGUGGUGGUCUGAGGCGGGGGGGCUGUUUGCGCAUCUUGGUAUAACCGCUUUCUCUACUGGGUUGCAAAUCAUAGUAGUUACCACUUACUGAGCGUUUAUAAACACUAGAAAACCCUGUGCACCUUUAAAUAAAUGCAACCAUUUUAUA
rnacentral:sRNA from 1 species